rnacentral:rRNA from 1 species
UGGGGAAUAUUGGACAAUGGGCGCAAGCCUGAUCCAGCAAUGCCGCGUGUGUGAAGAAGGCCUGCGGGUUGUAAAGCACUUUCAUUGGGGAGGAAGUAAUGGCUUUGAAUAGAGGCUAUUAUUGACGUUACCCAAAGAAGAAGCACCGGCUAACUCUGUGCCAGCAGCCGCGGUAAUACAGAGGGUGCAAGCGUUAAUCGGAAUUACUGGGCGUAAAGGGUGCGUAGGUGGUUAAUUAAGUUAUAUGUGAAAUCCCCGGGCUUAACCUGGGAAUGGCGUAUAAGACUGGUUAACUAGAGUUUGGGAGAGGGAAGUGGAAUUUCCAGUGUAGCGGUGAAAUGCGUAGAUAUUGGAAGGAACACCAGUGGCGAAGGCGACUUCCUGGCCCGAUACUGACACU